rnacentral:rRNA from 1 species
UGGGGAAUAUUGGACAAUGGGCGAAAGCCUGAUCCAGCCAUGCCGCGUGUGUGAAGAAGGUCUUCGGAUUGUAAAGCACUUUAAGGUGGGAGGAAGGGCAGUAAGCGAAUACCUUGCUGUUUUGACGUUACCGACAGAAUAAGCACCGGCUAACUCUGUGCCAGCAGCCGCGGUAAUACAGAGGGUGCAAGCGUUAAUCGGAAUUACUGGGCGUAAAGCGCGCGUAGGUGGUUCGUUAAGUUGAAUGUGAAAGCCCCGGGCUCAACCUGGGAACUGCAUCCAAAACUGGCGAGCUAGAGGAGGGCAGAGGGUGGUGGAAUUUCCUGUGUAGCGGUGAAAUGCGUAGAUAUAGGAAGGAACACCAGUGGCGAAGGCGACCACCUGGGCUCAUACUGACACUGAGGUGCGAAAGCGUGGGGAGCAAACAGG